AACAUGUCUUUUUGAUUAUAAUUUAAAGUCUAAUCUGCCCACUGAUAAUAUUAAAGGGCUGCAGUAUAUUGACUGUACAAAGGUAGCAUAAUCAUUAGUUUUUUAAUUGGAAACUUGUAUGAAAGAUUUGAUGAAAUAUAAACUGUCUCUAAAUUAUUAUUAAAAAUUUAUUUUUUAGUUAAAAAGCUAAAAUAAUUUUAAAAGACGAGAAGACCCUAUAGAGUUUUAUAUUUUAUUUAAUAUUAAAAUUAUAUUAAAAUUAAAAUUAAUAUUAAUUAAAAUAUUAUAUUGGGGUGAUAGAAAAAUUAAAAUAACUUUUUUUAAAAAUUAACCAUUGAUAAAUGAAUAAAUGAUCCAUUAAUAAUGAUUAUAAGAAAAAAUUACCUUAGGGAUAACAGCGUAAUAUUUUUUUUUAGUUCAAAUAAAAAAAAAAGUUUGCGACCUCGAUGUUGGAUUAAGAUAAAAUUUAAAUGCAAAUGUUUAAAAUUUUGAUCUGUUCGAUCAUUAAAAUCUUACAUGAUCU
rnacentral:rRNA from 1 species